AUACAACAGAUGUCUUAUGAGAAGCAGAGGGAGGACCUCAAGAGACUGCCUGGCCCAGUCCCUCACUAGGCGUAAGAAACAAACUCACCCAUCCAAACCCGAAGAAUGGACUCAGAGACCCAGAGAACAGCGAAAGUGAGAUUUUUAAUAAACAGUCAGUCUUGCAAAAUCGGGUGUCUGACGGACAGGCACACCCAGCAGUUUCAACAAGCAAUUUGUCCACUAGUGUGCAGGCUCCUCCCCCAGUUUCCCACAGGCUGAGUACUAUGGGGUCACAACCUUCCUGGACGUCACCUAUUGAUUGUUAGGCAGGGGCUUUAGGUGUUUUUGUUUGUUUGUUUGUUUUUAGGGUUGUCUUGCUGCAUUUUGUCACAGCCCACAAUGCAUUGCAAUCCUAGUCAGCUCAGGGGCUCUUCAAGUAUUUCACUUACGACCUAAGUAGCUGGGCUGGCUGAUAAGAACAGACAAAGGGAGCUAUUUUGCAGGCUAGUAGUAAGCUUUCAUUUUAGACUAAACUUCUUCGGUUCUGGUGAAGGCAACUAAUGGGGGGUAAGCGGGGAAAGGGGGAGGCCUACAAGCAGGCAUCAGCUAUCCAAGCAGGGGCCUCGAAUAUCCUGUUUCUUCUGUAGUCUGCUGACCUAAGCCAAUUUAAGGCACUUUGUCUUGGAAAUGCAACACUGUAUACAUUAUGUCCUUCACUGGUGAAAAUGAGAGGGGCUGUGACUGACUCAGUCCCAUAGUCACAGGCACCGGAACAGUCCCCAGCCUGCCCCUUGACUCAGAGCCCCCAUCUCCAAACUGUGCCUCAGAUUUGGGAGCACUAACGCGAUAACUUUGACUUCUUUUGUGCUGUAGUGACCAGCCUUCUGAAAGUGCCCAGAAAUUCUCUCUGAAGUGUGUUUGAGGCCAUGGGACGGAGGGAAGUGGCCUUUUAGCAGUACUGGGCAGGCAGAAUUGGCAAGAGUAAUUGGAAAGCUAAGGUACCUCAGCAGCAAGAGGUCUGGGACCACAGAAGCAGGUCAGGAAGCUGUUUUGGGGCCACUACGACCUUUGGAUGUGGACUUUGCUUUCAGGCUUACACAGUGCCCGUAAGUGAGCUGCACUGCAGCCCUAGCCCUGCCACUUGUGAGUGAGCUGAUCUCAGCAGGGUGGUAUGCUCCCUGCUCCGUGCUCCCCUGCUUUGCAACACCACAGCCUGCGUGGUUAAUAUCCCGGAUGACAGUUGCUUGUUUUUAUUCCAACAUGACCAGUUAGAAGCAGGGCAACCGUGGACAAGGUGGUGAACCCCUUUGUACUUCUGUGUUUUCAGUUGAAAAAUGGAGACGUCAAGUUCCCUAGUCACAGAGCAGCUGUGAUGGGACCCACGUAAACAGCCCUGAUCAGUAGUGAAGAGCAACAUGUGGCACACAGGGCCUCCUGCACAAGCAACAGUCGCUGCUUGCUGUUACUGUGGGCUCCACGUUGGGAUCAGACACACCUGUCUUCAGUGGCUUGCAGUUGCAGCAAGGACCGAAUGGUCUAUUCUAAAAGAAAACAUUACAGGCAGGCAGUACCAGACCACUGUGCUUGCAGCCCUCAUGAGAAGGCUCAGAAGACACAGGAGCUGCCCUGGGUGUGAAUUUCGUGUCCAUGCUGGCUUCUCGCAGUGGCCCUUGGCAUAGGUUGGGAUCUUGCAGCAAGAUUCUUCAUCGGUUUCUCCAUCUCUGAAGACUUCUUGCCAACAGCUGUACACGUGAAUAUAUUAUUUUCUCUUAUGCAGCUGUCUGUUUUACAUGAGUAGAAUGGAUGUGUGCUUCAGGGUCCCAGGAGAAAACACAUGCUGUGCCCAGACAAGACAGGAGCUGGGCUUAGAAAGGGCCCUGUUUACUCGAGGUGUGGCGGGGGGUUUAGCACCACAAAGGAAAGGGAAGUUGACUCCUACCCAUGUGACAGGGAAGCUUGUACCACUCUUACCUACACGGAGAGCCCAGUAUGAGAGGAGAGGUAGGUAGAAUGGUCUGCAUGGAGAGAGCUGGGGCAUCUGGGCCCAGGUAGCUCCAGGACAACUGUGCCAGCAGCUGCUCUACAGUCUCCUCCAGGAUCUCCAUCUACUGAGCCCACCUGGAAGCUGCAGGGUGGAGCUCUAGUGUCCAACCAGGUCCAUCUCCCAGAGUGCUCGGCAGGGCAGAGGAGCAUGGGCAGCAGUCUGGAAGAGCAAAAGAAAUCGGGCACAAAAUUCCUAAGGAGACAGUAAGUUUGCCAAAGGGCACAGACACGUCCUAAAUUCAUAGCUUGCUAGAGUUAAGAGCAUUAACAACAAUAAAAAUGCUCCUUGCCUGUAAAUGGGAUAAUCAUAGAAUGACUAAAUGAGGUCAAGUCACUCCAGGACCAUGAAAACAGAAAAGAGCACUAGAAGAGGUUGAACUUCAUGGGUGGGUGGCAGACAGUGCAUGGGCUACACCGAGGUACUUUCCCCACUGGUACUGUCCCUAAUUCACCUUGCCUGAUGGCCUAGACUCAAUGUUAGCAGCUGCCAUGCUGGCCCACCUGGGGAAGGCCACAGAGGGUUCGUGAAGCAGCCUGCUGUGCUCUACUUAAUCCUCCCAUGACCUUUACCUGUUCCUCUUAUCUUGCAGUUUUUGGAAGCAUCUUUUUCUCUGGGGCUUUGUGAUGGCCAAUAAGGAGGCCUGAGUCUCCCCAGAAGUUGCCCAGCACCUACUUGCCCAGCCCGCACUCCAGCUGUGGGUCAACUGGGAAGGAACAAAAACAAGACAAGGGGCUCCCUUCUGCUCCCACUCCCAGAGAAUGAAUCCCCCAGCUGCCUGCCCGCUCCUCUUUAACUGAGUCUUCAGAUGAGGUGAAGCGGUGGGGUCUUCAGAUUAUCCUGUCCUGGGAGCAGAAAGUUGAGUUGCAGAAGGAGGCCUCGUGUUUGAGGAGCUGGGGAACAUUUCCUCCUUCAUUGAUAGGUUCCUCCUGUCUCAGGCCUGAAGCACAUCUGAACGCAGAGGCAGGAGAACGGGCAAGGGAGAAAUAGGUAUGGCUCCGGGUGGGAGGAGGGCCCGGCAUCAAAGGAUCAAAGCCCCCACUUAGCAUCACAGUUUGCCUGUGCACGUUUCUGUGAAUUAGGCAAGCAAGAGAUAUAUUAUUACAGCAUUCCCUAAACUCCAUUUCAAUCAUACCCAAUUUCAAAAGGUGACUAACAGGUGAGGUGGGAUGGCAGAAAGAUCCCCGAGUCACAAGCACCUGGAAUCCCCAGGCUGGCGCUUUCUGAAUCAUUUAGUUGGAUGAGAUCUUAGAAAACCUUGCCUCACCCUUUCUGGAAGGCCAUCAUCACUUCCAGUGAAGCAAACCUGUUGCCUUCCAAAGCAUCAACAGCUCUUAUUGUUAGAAAAUGCCACCUGAAAUUUAGCUGAAACAGUCUAAUGGAGUGCUCAAUUCCAAAUGAACUUCUCUACCUCAUUAAGUAGAAUAAGAAAAUUGUAAGCCUCAGACAUCUUGAAUUUAGUCUUUGUCAAAAUUACGGUGAGGCUUGAUCCCUCAAACUUCAGUAGCAGGAGACUUAGAGGGCCCAGUUGCUGCUGACAUUGUUAAGCACUGAACUGAUAUUAGCAUUUGCUUAGAAAGACAAGAGAAUACCCACAUAUCCAAUACGUUUUAAGUAAAAAUCUAUACUUCUUUUGUAUGUUGUCAUUUAAAAUAAUGAAUUUAUCAGCUUAAUUAGAUAGAGCAAAAGUUUUUAUGUAAUUUGGAAAGUUUGGGUUAAUUGUCCCACCUCGAGAACGUGGAUGUUUAUCACAGGAAAUAUUUGUCAGAGUGUUUGUUGUAGAAAUCCGUGAUGCUCACUUCAAGCUAUAAUCUGUGUUUGCCACAGAGGUUUGUUCUAAUUCCCCAACCUUGCCACGACUGACCUGGGUCAUCACCAUGUGCUUAUUGAAGAGCCUUGGAAUACUGUAUAGACCCGUACAGAGUUGUUCAAAUAGGUAAGCACUUUCCUUCUGGUGAAUUUUUUUUUUUUUUUUUUUUUGAGAUGGAGUUUCACUCUUGUUGCCCAGGCUGGAGUGCAAUGGUGAGAUCUUGGCUCACUGCAACCUCCGCCUCCCAGGUUCAAGCGAUUCUCUUGCCUCAGCCUCCGGAGUAGCUGGGAUUACAGGCACCUGCCUCCACGCCCGGCUAAUUUUGUAUUUUUAGUAGAGAUGGGGUUUUCUCCAUGUUGGUCAGGCUGGUCUUGAACUCCCAACCUCAGGUGAUCUGCCUGCCUCGGCCUCACAAAGUGCUGGGAUUACAGGUGUGAGCCAACGCGCCAGGCCGAAAAUAUUUUAUAAUAAAGUGACUGUUGUAGAUCAACUUUAUAAUACAAUGCGGAUUCUCAAUUCUUAUAACAAAGACUAAUGUACAUAAAUUUCAGUAUGUUUUAAAAUUAGCCAGUACUUAGUAGAAAGCCCAUAUAGUUUACUGUAGCACUUCUGCACUUAUAGUUUAGGUCUAUCUAGAUGUAUGACUUCUCAGAUGCUGCCGAAUAUUGACCUUUUGCAUGGUAUUCAGUCUUUGAAUUUUUAUUUCAUAAUAUGCUGGAACCACGAUAUUCUAUCUGAUCAGCAACUGGUCUGGUAUCUGGGGCUCAUAAUUUUCUUUUUCCGCUUCAUAUUUCAGACAAUUGAGGACGACUAUAAUAGUUUCUCAUUAGAAAUACAUGCUAAUAAACAUCAUGUCUUUGGUAUUAAGUGGCAAUUAGAUGAAACAACCUGAAAUUCUGUCUGAUACCAAGAUUGAACUUUGCUGAGAUUACUGUUUCACUCACCGAAAAUAUCAGAAUACUCAAGGGAGUUAUUUUUUUUCUUAAUGUAACUUUCAUAAAGGAAAUGAAAGAAAUGUGGAGACUGAAAACAGUUGUCUGGUGUCUCAAUACUGCAUGCAGGUUCAACUACAUUCUAAGCAAGUUGACUGUUAUAAUACAUUUCACAUUUUCUGUGAUUUUGUUUGUGCUGAGACCUUAUGCAAUUACAAAGCAGAUUUUUUACACUAACCUACACUGAGAAAAGAAAACCACCGUUCCCCUUUUAAACAGGAGAGUGCCUCAAGUACACUCGGGAUCCCUCUCACCAAGCACAGCAAGGCUUGUGACUUCAAGCACACCAAGCUUGUGACUUUUUCUCCUACAAGGUGCACCUCGUUUUUUCUUACUGACAAAUUGGCUUUAAAGUAAAGUUAGUUCCCUAUCACACUGGCCCCCAAGACUCCAACUCCUGCUUCUCUUGGGAUCUCUGCCCAGAGUCCAAUCUCCCCUAAGGCGUGGUGCAGUGCUGUGCCCACACCUAGGCUCUGGGGGUGGGCACCCUUUGACUUUCCUCAUAUCAUUCCACCCUCGACACAUCCAAAUGUGAACACAUCUUCUCCACAAAGUGCCCCUUCACCACGCCAGUUCCCAGACACUUUAUUUCUUCCCUUGCCUAGAGUGCUGCCCCCAAAACCAGCCCCCCAUCAUUGGCCAUGUCCUUGCAGAGGCUGAACCAUCCCACAAUCUGUCAAGGAUAUCAGGGAAGAGCAUGAGCUGGAUAGACUUCAGGCUCUGCCAGCAGCUACAUUCUAGGGGUGCCCGGACGUCCUGGUCUCUUGAGAUGAGAUGGUCUUGUGUCUGGAAUUGGUCUCACUGACUAAAAGAAUAAAGCCGCAGACCUUCACAGUGAGUGUGACAGUUUUUAAAGAUGGUGUGUCUGGAGCUAGUUCCUUCAGAUGUUUGGACGUGUUCAGUUUCUUUCUGCUGGUGGGUUUGUGGUCUCGCUUGCUUCAGGAGUGGCUGCAGACCUUUGUAGUGAGUGUCACGAGCUCUUAAGGUGGUGCGCCUGGAGUUUCUCAUUCCUCCCAGUGGGUUUGCCAUCUCACUGCCUUUAAGGAGGGAAGCUGCAAAGCUUCGCGCAGUACGACAGUUUCCAAACAUGAUGCAAGCACAGCUUACCACGGUUGCCUCCGC
rnacentral:lncRNA from 1 species